rnacentral:rRNA from 1 species
GCAACCUUGAGACUCAAUCAGUUGAUUACCCGCUGAUAUAUGCG